CCUGGUCGUGUUGAGCAGUUGUUUGGCAGAUGUUAGUGGUGUUUCCUACUCUCAGUCGUCAGCAUCACUGGCUGAGUGGAAAUAAUCCUUGGAUGCUAAUUGGUUCGCUAUCUGUGAAUUGGUUGCUUCCUUGCGAUACUCACUACUCGGUCAGUGAGGAAGUGCGUUUGCUGGUCAACGAGCUUUCUAACUGUCAUUACCCUGCGCUUUUCGAUUCGUCGAGUGGCCAGGAUGUGGCUUUGAGAUUGUUCGCACUUAGUAAUCGCGAUGCUGGCUUCCAACGGUUGCCUCCGGCCCGUCUUGAAACACGGACCAAGGAGUCUAACGUAUGUGCGAGUGUGUGAGUGGCAAACUUAUACGCGUAAUGAAAGUGAGGCCGUAUGGCCAUGUUGGGGUCACCAACAACCGACCUUGAUCUUCGGUGAAAGGUUUGAGUAUGAGCAUAUCCGUUAGGACCCGAAAGAUGGUGAACUAUGCCUGAGCAGGGUGAAGCCAGGGGAAACUCUGGUGGAGGCUCGUAGCGAUACUGACGUGCAAAUCGUUCGUCAGACUUGGGUAUAGGGGCGAAAGACUAAUCGAACCAUCUAGUAGCUGGUUCCCUCCGAAGUUUCCCUCAGGAUAGCUAGAGUCUUUAUCAGUUUUGUCAGGUAAAGCGAAUGAUUAGAGGUUCCGGGGAAGUAACUUCCUCGACCUAUUCUCAAACUUUAAAUGGGCAAGAUCCAGUAGUUACUUAAUUGAACUAUUGGGGUCAAUGAGACGACUCUAAGUGGGCCAUUUUUGGUAAGCAGAACUGGCGAUGAGGGAUGAACCUAACGCUCGGUUAAGGUGCUAAACUGCUCGCUCAUCAGAUACCACAAAGGGUGUUGGUCGAUCUUAACAGCAGGACGGUGGUCAUGGAAGUCGAAAUCCGCUAAGGAGUGUGUAAACACUCACCUGCCGAAUCGACUAGCCCCGAAAAUGGAUAGCGCUGAAGCGAGUGACCGAUACCGGGCCAUUGUGCAAGAUAAUUGGCAAACAUGAGUAGGAGGGCGUGGGGGGUGUGAAGAAGCUUGGACGUGAGUC
rnacentral:ncRNA from 1 species